rnacentral:misc_RNA from 1 species
AGGAGCCGUAUGCGGUAAUUCUGCACGUACGGAUCUGCGCAGGGGGUGCGAGGUAACUCGCAUUCCUAUCGCGAC